ACUGCCCGUACUGGAAACCGACACAGGUGGUCAGGAUGAGAAAUCUAAAGCGGACAGGCUAACUCUCGUUAAGGAACUCUGCAAAAUGGCCCCGUAACUUCGGGAGAAGGGGUGCCUUUAGGCGUGAGUAUACAAGCGAUACAAAGCGCUUUGAGGUCGCAGUGAAGAGGCUCAAGCAACUGUUUAACAAAAACACAGGUCUAUGCGAAGCUGUAAGGCGAAGUAUAUGGGCUGACACCUGCCCAGUGCCGGAAGGUUAAGAGGAGGAGUGAGAGCUCCGAAUUGAAGCCCCGGUGAACGGCGGCCGUAACUAUAACGGUCCUAAGGUAGCGAAAUUCCUUGUCGGGUAAGUUCCGACCUGCACGAAUGGUGUAAUGAUUUGAGCGCUGUCUUGACGGGAGGCCUGGUGAAAUUGUAUUACCGGUGAAGAUACCGGUUACCUACAGUAGGACGGAAAGACCCCAUGGAGCUUUACUGUAGCUUGGUAUUGGGUUUUGGCAUGGCAUGUAUAGGAUAGUUGGGAGACUGGGAAGGAAUGGCGCUAGCUGUACCGGAGUCAUCGGUGGAAUACCAACCAUUCCCUGCUGAAAUUCUAAUCUGUACUUUGGAGGUACGGAGACAGUGCUAGGUGGGCAGUUUGACUGGGGCGGUCGCCUCCGAAAGAGUAACGGAGGCGUUCAAAGGUUCUCUCAGGUUGGAUGGAAAUCAACCGCAGAGUGCAAUGGCAAAAGAGAGCUUGACUGCAAGACUGACGGGUCGAGCAGAUGCGAAAGCAGGACAUAGUGAUCCGGCGAUUCCG
rnacentral:rRNA from 1 species